AGUGAACGCUGGCGGUAGGCCUAACAUAUGCAAGUCGAACGGCAGCACAGUAAGAGCUUGCUCUUACGGGUGGCGAGUGGCGGACGGGUGAGGAAUACAUCGGAAUCUACUUUUUCGUGGGGGAUAACGUAGGGAAACUUACGCUAAUACCGCAUACGACCUACGGGGGAAAGCAGGGGAUCUUCGGACCUUGCGCGAGUGAAUGAGCCGAUGUCGGAUUAGCUAGUUGGCGGGGUAAAGGCCCACCAAGGCGACGAUGCGUAGCUGGCCUGAGAGGGUGACCGGCCACAUUGGGACUGAGAUACGGCCCAGACUCCUACGGGAGGCAGAAGUGGGGAAUAUUGCACAAUGGGCGGAAGCCUGAUGCAGCAACGCCGCGUGCCGGAUGACGGCCUUCGGGUUGUAAACCGCUUUCGCCCGUGACGAAGCGUGAGUGACGGUAAUGGGUAAAGAAGCACCGGCUAACUACGUG
rnacentral:rRNA from 1 species